GAUCCUGGCUCAGAUUGAACGCUGGCGGCAGGCCUAACACAUGCAAGUCGAGCGGAAACGAGUUAUCUGAACCUUCGGGGAACGAUAACGGCGUCGAGCGGCGGACGGGUGAGUAAUGCCUAGGAAAUUGCCCUGAUGUGGGGGAUAACCAUUGGAAACGAUGGCUAAUACCGCAUAAUGCCUACGGGCCAAAGAGGGGGACCUUCGGGCCUCUCGCGUCAGGAUAUGCCUAGGUGGGAUUAGCUAGUUGGUGAGGUAAGGGCUCACCAAGGCGACGAUCCCUAGCUGGUCUGAGAGGAUGAUCAGCCACACUGGAACUGAGACACGGUCCAGACUCCUACGGGAGGCAGCAGUGGGGAAUAUUGCACAAUGGGCGCAAGCCUGAUGCAGCCAUGCCGCGUGUGUGAAGAAGGCCUUCGGGUUGUAAAGCACUUUCAGUCGUGAGGAAGGUAGUGUAGUUAAUAGCUGCAUUAUUUGACGUUAGCGACAGAAGAAGCACCGGCUAACUCCGUGCCAGCAGCC
rnacentral:rRNA from 1 species